GUGGGGAAUUUUGGACAAUGGGCGCAAGCCUGAUCCAGCAAUGCCGCGUGCAGGAUGAAGGCCUUCGGGUUGUAAACUGCUUUUGUACGGAACGAAACGGCUCUGGUUAAUACCCGGGGCUAAUGACGGUACCGUAAGAAUAAGCACCGGCUAACUACGUGCCAGCAGCCGCGGUAAUACGUAGGGUGCAAGCGUUAAUCGGAAUUACUGGGCGUAAAGCGUGCGCAGGCGGUUUUGUAAGACAGGCGUGAAAUCCCCGGGCUCAACCUGGGAAUGGCGCUUGUGACUGCAAAGCUGGAGUGCGGCAGAGGGGGAUGGAAUUCCGCGUGUAGCAGUGAAAUGCGUAGAUAUGCGGAGGAACACCGAUGGCGAAGGCAAUCCCCUGGGCCUGCACUGACGCUCAUGCACGAAAGCGUGGGGAGCAAACAGGAUUAGAAACCCGGGUAGUCC
rnacentral:rRNA from 1 species